CUGGGUCCCUCCCACAACACGUGGGGAUUAUAGGAACUACAAUUCAAGAUGAGAUUUGGGUGGGGACACAGCCAAACCAUAUCAACAGCCCAGCAGCUACUUCAGUCCUCCUUAAUUUAUCUCUUGAAUUCUCCCAAACCCAGCUCAUCCCUGGCUUGUUUCUCUUAUUCUUUCUCUCGCCUUCUGAUCCAUUCUGCUUUCGUUAGUAUGUAACUCCCUGCCUUCUCUUAGGUAGACCCAUCAACCCAUCCUACCCAUGGUACUGCACAAUUCAGAAUCCUUUCCCAAAUUUUCCCUUAUUAUGCACAAGAAAUACUCCAGGGCCAGGUGCAAUGGCUCACGCCUGUAAUCCCAGAACUUUGGAAGGCUGAGGCAGGAGGAUCGCUUGAGCCCAAGAGUUCAAGGCUGUAGUUAGUGAUGUUGGUGCCACUGCACUCCAGCCUAGGCAACACAACAAGACACUAUCUCAAUUAAAAGAAAAAAAAAGAAAAAAGAAAAAGAAAUACUCCAGAACUUGGCUAGUGAAGACUAAUUCCUCCUUCACAGGAAGGAAGUGGGGGCAGGGGAAAAUGAUGCUGUAAAUACUCUAAAAUAUGUAUUUUUUCCUGUCCCAUCAGCUAUGCCAUCUGGGAUGGGGUGACGCCUGGAUGAGAUGUCAUUUUAAAGGACAUUUCUGGGACAUGCUGGCAUCAAGGCAAGUUUUCAGGUGCUGAGUCCUGCUCUGUAGCUUGAGUGGAGCAGGAGAUGGGUCCGUGG
rnacentral:lncRNA from 10 species